rnacentral:rRNA from 1 species
GACGAACGCUGGCGGCGUGCUUAACACAUGCAAGUCGAGCGGUAAGGCCCUUUGGGGUACACGAGCGGCGAACGGGUGAGUAACACGUGAGUAAUCUGCCUUUGGCUUGGGAAUAACUUCGGGAAAUCGGGGCUAAUGCCUGAUGUUUACUGUCUGCUGCAUGGUGGGUGGUGGAAAGAUUUUUUGGCCAGGGAUGAGCUCGCGGUCUAUCAGCUUGUUGGUGGGGUAAUGGCUACCAAGGCUUUGACGGGUAGCCGGCCUGAGAGGGUGUUCGGCCACACUGGGACUGAGACACGGCCCAGACUCCUACGGGAGGCAGCAGUGGGGAAUAUUGCGCAAUGGGCGUAAGCCUGACGCAGCGACGCCGCGUGGGGA